UGGGGAAUAUUGCACAAUGGAGGGAACUCUGAUGCAGCAACGCCGCGUGCGGGAUGACGGCCUUCGGGUUGUAAACCGCUUUCAGCCAUGACGAAGCUUUUGUGACGGUAGUGGUAGAAGAAGCACCGGCUAACUACGUGCCAGCAGCCGCGGUGAUACGUAGGGUGCGAGCGUUGUCCGGAAUUAUUGGGCGUAAAGAGCUUGUAGGCGGUUUGUCGCGUCGAUAGUGUAAACACGCAGCUUAACUGGGUGCCUGCUGUCGAUACGGGCUGACUAGAGGAGGGUAGGGGAGAAUGGAAUUCCCGGUGGAGCGGUGGAAUGCGCAGAUAUCGGGAGGAACACCAGUGGCGAAGGCGGUUCUCUGGACCUUUCCUGACGCUGAGAAGCGAAAGCGUGGGUAGCAAACAGG
rnacentral:rRNA from 1 species